rnacentral:rRNA from 1 species
AUUGAACGCUGGCGGCAGGCUUAACACAUGCAAGUCGAGCGGAGUGAUGGUGCUUGCACUAUCACUUAGCGGCGGACGGGUGAGUAAUGCUUAGGAAUCUGCCUAUUAGUGGGGGACAACAUCUCGAAAGGGAUGCUAAUACCGCAUACGUCCUACGGGAGAAAGCAGGGGAUCACUUGUGACCUUGCGCUAAUAGAUGAGCCUAAGUCGGAUUAGCUAGUUGGUGGGGUAAAGGCCUACCAAGGCGACGAUCUGUAGCGGGUCUGAGAGGAUGAUCCGCCGCACUGGGACCGAGACACGGCCCAGACUCCUACGGGAGGCAGCAGUGGGGAAUAUUGGACAAUGGGGGGAACCCUGAUCCAGCCAUGCCGCGUGUGUGAAGAAGGCCUUAUGGUUGUAAAGCACUUUAAGCGAGGAGGAGGCUCUUUUGGUUAAUACCCAAGUUGAGUGGACGUUACUCGCAGAAUAAGCACCGGCUAACUCUGUGCCAGCCGCCGCGGUAAAAC